UAUUGCUCUUCAACGAGGAAUCCCUAGUAAGCGCAAGUCAUCAGCUUGCGUUGAUUACGUCCCUGCCCUUUGUACACACCGCCCGUUGCUACUACCGAUUGAAUGGCUCAGUGAGGCGUCCGGACUGGCCCAGAGAGGAGGGAAACCACCACUCAGGGCCGGAAAGCUCUCCAAACUCGGUCAUUUAGAGGAAGUAAAAGU
rnacentral:rRNA from 1 species